rnacentral:rRNA from 1 species
CAUGCAGUCGACGAUGAAGCCCUUCGGGGUGGAUUAGUGGCGAACGGGUGAGUAACACGUGGGCAAUCUGCCCUUCACUCUGGGACAAGCCCUGGAAACGGGGUCUAAUACCGGAUACGACUGCGGGAGGCAUCUCCUGCGGUGGAAAGCUCCGGCGGUGAAGGAUGAGCCCGCGGCCUAUCAGCUUGUUGGUGGGGUAAUGGCCUACCAAGGCGACGACGGGUAGCCGGCCUGAGAGGGCGACCGGCCACACUGGGACUGAGACACGGCCCAGACUCCUACGGGAGGCAGCAGUGGGGAAUAUUGCACAAUGGGCGAAAGCCUGAUGCAGCGACGCCGCGUGAGGGAUGACGGCCUUCGGGUUGUAAACCUCUUUCAGCAGGGAAGAAGCGAAAGUGACGGUACCUGCAGAAGAAGCGCCGGCUAACUACGUGCCAGCAGCCGCGGUAAUACGUAGGGCGCAAGCGUUGUCCGGAAUUAUUGGGCGUAAAGAGCUCGUAGGCGGCUUGUCGCGUCGGAUGUGAAAGCCCGGGGCUUAACCCCGGGUCUGCAUUCGAUACGGGCAGGCUAGAGUGUGGUAGGGGAGAUCGGAAUUCCUGGUGUAGCGGUGAAAUGCGCAGAUAUCAGGAGGAACACCGGUGGCGAAGGCGGAUCUCUGGGCCAUUACUGACGCUGAGGAGCGAAAGCGUGGGGAGCGAACAGGAUUAGAUACCCUGGUAGUCCACGCCGUAAACGUUGGGAACUAGGUGUUGGCGACAUUCCACGUCGUCGGUGCCGCAGCUAACGCAUUAAGUUCCCCGCCUGGGGAGUACGGCCGCAAGGCUAAAACUCAAAGGAAUUGAC